rnacentral:tRNA from 1 species
UGCAAGGCGAUGGACUCGAACCACCAUUACCAGGAACUCGUUUUACGCGUUACGUCGUGGCGGAAUGACCGUUACUCCAAAACCCAAUGCAACCUAGCGCUAAACCCUUUUGCUAACCUUGC